rnacentral:rRNA from 1 species
AGGACGAACGCUGGCGGCGUGCUUAACACAUGCAAGUGGAGCGACGAACCGGGCUUCGGCCCGGGGCAAAGCCGCGAACGGGUGAGUAACACGUGGGUAACGUACCCCGAUGACCGGGACAACCCGAGGAAACUCGGGCUAAUACCGGAUGUGCUGAGUGGCUUCAAGGCCACUCAACAAAGGAAGCUUCGGCCUCCGCAUUGGGAGCGGCCCGCGGCCCAUUAGCUUGUUGGUGAGGUAACGGCUCACCAAGGCAACGAUGGGUAGCUGGUCUGAGAGGACGAUCAGCCACACUGGGACUGAGACACGGCCCAGACUCCUACGGGAGGCAGCAGUGGGGAAUCUUGCGCAAUGCGCGAAAGCGUGACGCAGCAACGCCGCGUGAGGGAGAAGGCUUCGGGUGUAACCUCUUCAGAGGACGAAGGUUCGAGGGCGAAUAGCCGCUGGACUGACGUACCUACCGAGAAGAACGCCCGCUAACUACGUGCCAGCCAGCCGAC